ensembl:lncRNA
CGGGUGCUCUCUCUCUGAUGGAAGCCAGGGGCUAUGUCGAAAGCUCCCAUAUGUAAAGCCCCCGUGGCAAGAAACUGAGGGAGGCCUCCAGUUGACAGACAUUGAGGAAUUGAGCCACUCACUCCAACAUUCUUUGCAGGACUGAAUCUUGGCAACAACCAUAUGAGUGAGUUUGGAAGAAGGUCUCCAUUUGAGCCGUCAGAUGGGGUUGCAGCCCUGGCUGACUGCAGCGUAAUGGGAAACUCUGAGGCAGCCUGGCCUAGCUAUGCCACUUCCGGAUUUUAGACCCACAAAAACUCUUAGGUCUUAGUUGUGGCACAUGAACACCUAGCUGAGGCACGUGGAAAUUAGUUAGUUCCCUGAUCCCCUGGGAUCGAACCUGAGUCCCCUGCAUAGGGAGCUUCGAAUCUUAGCCACUGGACCACCAGGUUACUCACCAGCUGAGGACACUCAAGCAAUCCUGGAGAGAGGUCUAUGAGGUGAGGGACUGAGACCACCUGCCAAAAGCUGGCACUACUUUGGUAGCCAUGGAAAGAUGCCAUUUUGGAGGUGGAUCCUCCAGUCCUCACCAACUCUUCAGAUAUAGCCCUAGCCAAUACCUUGACUGCAGUCUUAUCAGAGAGACCCUGAGUCUGAACUGAGACAGGCUUGUUGCUGAAAUUCAGCCUCUGUCCACUGGUGCUGAAUUAAAUCUCAGAGACAGAGCUUUGGGUGAAAUAGUUAUUGCUUUGCCAGGCAAAGGGGCAACAGCAGAAUAAUGCCCUUAAGACUGUGAGUCCCACUCUGGAGUGGGUAGCGAGGAGCCUUAUCAUGUUUAAGGAAUAGGGCGUGAUCAGCUUGUGGACAUUCUUCUGAUUGAUUGGUAGUGAGGUAAUUAGGAGUCAGUAUCUAACC